UACGAAGGGGGCUAGCGUUGCUCGGAAUCACUGGGCGUAAAGCGCACGUAGGCGGAUUGCUAAGUCAGGGGUGAAAUCCUGGAGCUCAACUCCAGAACUGCCUUUGAUACUGGCGAUCUUGAGUCCGGGAGAGGUGAGUGGAACUGCGAGUGUAGAGGUGAAAUUCGUAGAUAUUCGCAAGAACACCAGUGGCGAAGGCGGACUCACUGGUCCGGUUCUGACGCUGAGGCGCGAAAGCGUGGGGAGCAAACAGG
rnacentral:rRNA from 1 species